rnacentral:rRNA from 1 species
AGCAGCCGCGGUAAUUCCAGCUCCAAUAGCGUAUAUUAAAGUUGUUGCAGUUAAAAAGCUCGUAGUUGAAUUUCGGGAUCAAUAUGUCGGUCGUGCCUUCGGUACGUACUGGUAUCAUUGGUUUCUCCUUUCUGACGAACCAUGAUGUCAUUAAUUUGGUGUUAUGGGGAGUUAGGACUGUUACUUUGAAAAAAUUAGAGUGUUUAAAGCAGGCUUUAGCUUGAAUACAUUAGCAUGGAAUAAUGAAAUAGGACGUUCGAACCUAUUUUGUUGGUUUCUAGGAUCAACGUAAUGAUUAAUAGGGAUAGUUGGGGGCAUUAGUAUUCAAUUGUCAGAGGUGAAAUUCUUGGAUUUAUUGAAGACUAACUACUGCGAAAGCAUUUGCCAAGGAUGUUUUCAUUAAUCAAGAACGAAAGUUAGGGGAUCGAAGACGAUCAGAUACCGUCGUAG